rnacentral:tRNA from 1 species
AGCCCGAUCGUUCAACGGAAGGACGCCGCUCUGAUACGGCGGCAACGAAGGUUCGACUCCUUCUCGGGCUA